AUAUCUUAGGCAAACGCUGCAAUUAUUUGUAGAGGAAAGUCCAUGCUUGCACUGUCUGCGAUGACAGUAGUGAUUGUGCUAAGGGAAAAAAUAACCUUAGGUAGCUUAUGCUAACGGCAAAUAGCUAGUCUAAGUCAUAGAUAUGAUUAGUUACUAACGUGCCACAGAAACGAGCUUAGUGGAAACGCUAAGAUGAAACGAGGUAAACCCCACAAGCAAGAAAUCCAAAUUUUGGUAGGAGAGCUUAGAUAAGGAACUGAACUGAUUCUAGGACCUGUAAGGUAGAUAAAUGUUUGCCGCCCGUUAGGGUACAGAACAUGGCUUAUUAGA
rnacentral:RNase_P_RNA from 1 species